GUGACCUCAAAUCAGGUAGGACUACCCGCUGAACUUAAGCAUAUCAAUAAGCGGAGGAAAAGAAACUAACAAGGAUUCCCCUAGUAACUGCGAGUGAAGCGGGAAAAGCUCAAAUUUAAAAUCUGGCGGUCUUUUGGCUGUCCGAGUUGUAAUCUAGAGAAGUGUUAUCCGCGCUGGACCAUGUACAAGUCUCCUGGAAUGGAGCGUCAUAGAGGGUGAGAAUCCCGUCUUUGACAUGGACUGCCAGGGCUUUUGUGAUGCGCUCUCAAAGAGUCGAGUUGUUUGGGAAUGCAGCUCAAAAUGGGUGGUAAAUUCCAUCUAAAGCUAAAUAUUGGCGAGAGACCGAUAGCGAACAAGUACCGUGAGGGAAAGAUGAAAAGAACUUUGGAAAGAGAGUUAAACAGUACGUGAAAUUGCUGAAAGGGAAACGCUUGAAGUCAGUCACGUUGGCCAGGGAUCAACCCUGCUUUUGCUUGGUGCACUUCCUGGUUUGACGGGUCAGCAUCAUUUUUGACCAUUGGAAAAAGAUGAAGGGAAUGUGGCAUCUCCGGAUGUGUUUAUAGCCCUUGGUCACAUACAAUGGUUGGGAUUGAGGAACUCAGCGCGCCGCAAGGCCGUGCUAGGAUGCU
rnacentral:rRNA from 1 species